AUUGAACGCUGGCGGCAUGCCUUACACAUGCAAGUCGAACGGCAGCGGACCUUCGGGUGCCGGCGAGUGGCGAACGGGUGAGUAAAGUAUCGGAACGUACCUUUCAGUGGGGGAUAACGUAGCGAAAGUUACGCUAAUACCGCAUAUUCUGUGAGCAGGAAAGCAGGGGAUCGCAAGACCUUGCGCUGAUUGAGCGGCCGAUAGCAGAUUAGCUAGUUGGUGAGGUAAAGGCUCACCAAGGCGACGAUCUGUAGCGGGUCUGAGAGGAUGAUCCGCCACACUGGAACUGAGACACGGUCCAGACUCCUACGGGAGGCAGCAGUGGGGAAUUUUUCGCAAUGGGGGAAACCCUGACGAAGCAACGCCGCGUGGAGGAUGAAGGCCUUCGGGUCGUAAACUCCUGUCGACCGGGACGAACGUAGAGGAGGCUAAUACCCACUUCUAUCGACUGUACCGGUGGAGGAAGCCACGGCUAACUCUGUGCCAGCAGCCGCCGUAACAC
rnacentral:rRNA from 1 species